rnacentral:tRNA from 1 species
GGACCGGUUGUCUAGUGGUUAGGAUGACGCACUCACACCGCAAAGGUCGAGGGUUCAAAUCCCUCCCGGUCCA